rnacentral:rRNA from 1 species
ACAGAGGGUGCUAGCGUUGUUCGGAAUUAUUGGGCGUAAAGGGCGCGUAGGCGGUGCGGUAAGUCUUUUGUGAAAUCUCCGGGCUCAACUCGGAGUCUGCAAGAGAAACUGCCGUGCUGGAGUAUGGGAGAGGUGAGUGGAAUUCCCGGUGUAGCGGUGGAAUGCGUAGAGAUCGGGAAGAAUACCCGUGGCGAAGGCGGCCAGCUGGGCCAGGUCCGACACUGAGGCGCGAAAGCGUGGGGAGCAAACAGGA